ensembl:lncRNA
UGGAGACAUCCAUGCUUACAGUGUGGGCAAUAUUAUUGGCCCUUUGCUUGGGAAAUGGCCAGGAUGUAGACAAGCGGAUGGUCCUUAGAAGCACCUGCUGUAAGCCUGGCAGACUAGAUCAAGACAUAUAAAACACAUCUGCUACCAAAGCUUCAGAAGUUAUUCUUUUUUUUUUUUUUUCUUUAUAAAUGUCAUUUCUGGAAAUGUGCUUUUCAACAUGAGCAUUUCUUGAGGCAAGUGAGACAACUGUCAGGUGAUGAACUAAGGACACUCACUUCCCAGCGCCUGGUUUUCAGGUAACUGCUUUUGCUGCUGCGAUUCUCCAGUUAUGUCCACGGUGCAUAGGGAAGAACUUGCUCACAGGCAGCAGCUUGUCAUCCUUAAAGCCUGCAUAAUACACACUGUCUGCUCCAGACCUUGAGCUCUCGUCCAGGUUUAACUCACAGUCUUUCAGCUAUUAAACCUAUUUCAAG